GUGAGGAAUAUUGGUCAAUGGACGGAAGUCUGAACCAGCCAUGCCGCGUGCAGGAAUAAGGUCCUAUGGAUUGUAAACUGCUUUUAUUCGGGAAUAAACCUCUUUACGUGUAGGGAGCUGAAGGUACCGAAGGAAUAAGCACCGGCUAACUCCGUGCCAGCAGCCGCGCUAAUACGGAGGGUGCAAGCGUUAUCUGGAAUCAUUUGGUUUAAAGGGUCCGCAGGAGGGCUAUCAAGUCAGAGGUGAAAUCCCACAGCUUAACUGUGGAACUGCCUUUGAAACUGAUGGUCUUCAAUUAAGUGGGCGUUAGUGGAAUAUGACAUGUAGCGGUGAAAUGCAUAGAUAUGUCAUGGAACACCGAAAGAGAAGGCAGCUAACGAUACUUAUAUUGACGCUAAUGGACGAAAGCGUGGGUAGCGAACAGGAUUAGAUACCCUAGUAGUCC
rnacentral:rRNA from 1 species